AACAAAUUCAAAAUGUUUUAUGAUAUUUAAGAUAGUGAAUAUCAUUAAAAAAUUUAUUAUUAUUUCGUUUCUUCUAAAAGCUAUCAUCCCAUUUUUAUCUGUAGUAAAUUACUUUUCUAAAAAAGUGCUUAUAAGCAGCUACGUUAAAGCUCGAGUUAUCCGAACUUUUUUGACGCUAUUUAUUAAUUCACUAGUAUAUAAUCCUGUCGAUGACAGGGAGUUGAACCAUACCUCUUCAAAGAUGAUUAAAAUAUUCUUAUUAAUGGCAGAUUGAUCACUAUCUUUUACUUCAAUUCUGAAUCUGUUCAUUAUUAAAGAACGAACUGAAGUUCUGUAUAAACUGUUCAUGGAAUCCCCACCGAUUAAUACUCACCGGUGGAUUGUGCUAACACCGCUGUCUACUCGGUGAGACGCUUCAGUGCUGACCACGGACCACCCAUAUUUCUGGUGGGUUCAGCCUUGAGGUGGAAGUUAUGGUUCAACGGAUUCGAGUUUUGAUCCCUUCUGAAAAAAUUUUGGAGGCGUAGGACCUGGUUGCUCACAUCAGUGAAGGCAGACUGUUGAUAGUAGCCGGGUUUAGAGCACUAAAUACUUUCCAAGAGAUAAGUCCAGGAAUUGAUUCUAAGUCCUUGAAUGGAAAAUAAUAGCGUUUCCAUAUGGCCAAUCCGAUCACAACACAACACCGAACUAAAUUAAAAUAUCCGUUGAAUUUUGGCAGAUGUAUUGAAUCUAUCAUUUUUUAAUUUGAAAAAACUAUUAUCAGAUUCGUAAUCUAUCACCUCAAAAAUUUUCAGAUAUUGAUUUUCUUCAAAAUAGAACUAAUAAAAAAUCAAAUUUGGUCCGCCACUUUUUUAAGUAUUAUUUUUUCAAUUAAUAUGUGUAGGAUUAUUUUUCUCCAAGUAAAACACUUAAAUGAUCGAGAAAUGACGAUUUUUAAGCCAUAAACUAAACAUUGGAGACAUAGCUUCCCCAUUUUUUUACCUCUUCAAUAAUUCCAGGUUGUCUGAUUUUUCUGAAUCAGUUCAAUAGUCCCUCUUUAGCAUCUCCAAAUAUCAGCUUUAUAAAUUGCAGAAAGUAUUCAUAUUUGUGUAGAGAAAAGUGGUC
rnacentral:lncRNA from 1 species